AUGCACGCUGGCGGCGUGCCUAAUACCUGCAAGUCGAGCGAACAGAUAAGGAGCUUGCUCCUUUGACGUUAGCGGCGGACGGGUGAGUAACACGUGGGUAACCUACCUAUAAGACUGGGAUAACUUCGGGAAACCGGAGCUAAUACCGGAUAACAUUUGGAACCGCAUGGUUCUAAAGUGAAAGAUGGUUUUGCUAUCACUUAUAGAUGGACCCGCGCCGUAUUAGCUAGUUGGUAAGGUAACGGCUUACCAAGGCAACGAUACGUAGCCGACCUGAGAGGGUGAUCGGCCACACUGGAACUGAGACACGGUCCAGACUCCUACGGGAGGCAGCAGUAGGGAAUCUUCCGCAAUGGGCGAAAGCCUGACGGAGCAACGCCGCGUGAGUGAUGAAGGGUUUCGGCUCGUAAAACUCUGUUAUUAGGGAAGAACAAAUGUGUAAGUAACUGUGCACGUCUUGACGGUACCUAAUCAGAAAGCCACGGCUAACUACGUG
rnacentral:rRNA from 1 species